CGCAGAGGGUGGUGGGAAAAGGACAUUGCCAUGAGGCCCCUUCCAGCCCUGGAGCUGCAGCCCACCAGUCCCUUGCUGGUGCCCGUGGCGGCUGAAGGGACUGUGACAGCGCUUCGCAGCCUCUGCUCCCAGCCACCGCUGUUUUGCACUUAGAAGAAGUUAACAAACCAACCCCUCGGAUGGCCUCGGCUGCCCCCCCACUUCUCCACCAUAAGCCUGUCCAUGCUGAAAAGACUUCUGUUGUCCUGGCUGCUCCCGGGCCACUGAGUUGUCAAAGCCGGCAGCGGUUGGGAGGAGUAUUUGUUUCACACAUGAGUUCACCGGAGUCUGGUGUGCAGAGCCGACCUUCCACUGUGUUCCCUCAGCUUUCUCCUCAGACUCCCUGGCUCGGAAGAGAGCUCGGCUUUUAGAUCUGUAUGAUCGGAAACCGAGAUUCUAUAUGCUAUAUAUAGUUGUGCACAGGUGUUAGAUAAGAAGUACAUGUGUUACGUGUAAAAUGUGGUCGUAAGAUGCAGAUGCAUAAAUCUGUUUAUUUCCAGCCAAGUGCAUCUGUUUACAAAUCACCCGGUGGUCCCUGCCCCGGUCCAGAGAACCACUUAGGACCAUUCAAAACGCACCAUACUUGUCAACAUGUUCUAAAAGUCAGUUAAUAAAAAAAGAGAAUGUCAA